UCGCGAAACCUUUGCAAUACACGAAAGUGUGACAGGGCUAUCCCGAGUGCCAUCCGCUGAGGAAGGCUUUUACCCAGUCUAGAACGCUGGGGGAAUAAGGAGAGGGCAAGUCUGGUGUCAGCCGCCGCGGUAAUACCAGCUCUCCGAGUGGUGUGGAUGUUUAUUGGGCCUAAAGCAUCCGUAGCUGGCUAGGUAAGUCCCUUGUUAAAUCCACCGAAUUAAUCGUUGGAUCGCGGGGGAUACUGCUUGGCUAGGGGACGAGAGAGGCAGACGGUAUUCUCGGGGUAGGGGUGAAAUCCUAUAAUCCCGGGAAGACCACCAGUGGCGAAGGCUGUCUGCUAGAACGCGCCCGACGGUGAGGGAUGAAAGCUGGGGGAGCGAACCGGAUUAGAUACCCGGGUAGUCCCAGCUGUAAACGAUGCAGACUAGGUGUUUGAACGGCCACGUGCCGUUCUAGUGCCGCAGGGAAGCUGUUAAGUCUGCCGCCUGGGGAGUACGAUCGCAAGAUUGAAACUUAAGGAAUUGGCGGGGG
rnacentral:rRNA from 1 species